UAGGGAAUCUUCGGCAAUGGACGGAAGUCUGACCGAGCAACGCCGCAUGAGUGAAGAAGGUUUUCGGAUCGUAAAGCUCUGUUGUUAGAGAAGAACGUUGGUAGGAGUGGAAAAUCUACCAAGUGACGGUAACUAACCAGAAAGGGACGGCUAACUACGUGCCAGCAGCCGCGGUAAUACGUAGGUCCCGAGCGUUGUCCGGAUUUAUUGGGCGUAAAGCGAGCGCAGGCGGUUCUUUAAGUCUGAAGUUAAAGGCAGUGGCUUAACCAUUGUACGCUUUGGAAACUGGAGGACUUGAGUGCAGAAGGGGAGAGUGGAAUUCCAUGUGUAGCGGUGAAAUGCGUAGAUAUAUGGAGGAACACCGGUGGCGAAAGCGGCUCUCUGGUCUGUAACUGACGCUGAGGCUCGAAAGCGUGGGGAGCAAACAGG
rnacentral:rRNA from 1 species